GUUUUUACGGCAGGACUAUCCCGUCCCGGACUACGCUUUGCAGCUGAAAAAAAAAACACUUUCCGAGCAGUUGCAAUGGUGUGCGUAAUACCGGUAAUACCAGAGGAGGAAAAUUAUUAGAACGAAACUCAAUCGAAAAUAAUAAAGAGCGACUGAAGAAAAAGUUCGUUAGUUUGCUUCUCAACAACAAACACACUCAGAGAGAAAUAAGAGUAUGUAUCAGUUCUCUUCUAAAAGGCGUCAAAGUUUUAUGACCAGCACAACAAUCUGGGCAAAAAGUUCACUGUAAACCAUUUUAAAAGCGUCCGGUUACGACUAUGUAACAAUAAUGAACUGAAUUGCCGGCCAAAGUAAUGGAUAAAGCAGGACUUUGUUCUUCUUGCCGCGACUUCAACAACAAGGCUUCAAUGAUUCAACGGAUGCUGCGGUUCAAGCUCAAUGUAUUCAACAUAAAAAAACGCAAAACGUUGACAAGAGUUGAAAUAAAGUGCCGAAUGAAGCAUCAUCAUAUUACACCAAAAACAUUUGAACUACAAAUACGCAACCCAACGAAUCUAUUUCAGUGUCAGUUGAUUGGUAGAAUUAAGAAAUGCAUUCGAAAAAUCGACGUGAAGACCUCUAGAGUAACAUAAAUACUGCAAGGUAUACAGCCCUACAGUUGUAUGAAAUGGUGACGUGGGACUAAAUACUAUAAUUACAGACACAAUAAAUUCGUUUGUUCAGUGAUUUACGUAUUUUAAUUCUCAUCCUCCCUUCGUUUUUUGAGAAAUAUACUUGA